rnacentral:rRNA from 1 species
AUUGAACGCUGGCGGCAGGCCUAAUACAUGCAAGUCGAGCGAGUGGCGGACGGGUGAGUAAUAUCUGGGAAACCGCCCGAUUGCGGGGGGUAACUACUGGAAACGGUAGGUUAUUCCGCAAUCCAAGAGAUGUGCCCAGAUGGUAUUAGCUAGUAGGUGGGGUAACGGCUCACCUAGGCGACGAUCCGUAGCUGGUCUGAGAGGAUGACCAGCCACACGGGAACUGGGACACGGUCCAGACUCCUACGUGAGGCAGCAGUGGGGAAUAUUCCGCAAUGGGCGCAAGCCUGAUGCAGCCAUGCCGCGUGUGUGAGGAAGGCCUUCGGGUUGUAAAGCACUUUCAGCGGGGAGGCGUUACCCGCAGAAGAAGCACCGGCUAACUCCGUGCCAGCCGCCGCGGUAAUAC